rnacentral:rRNA from 1 species
AUGCAGGAACUCAUCAAUAAUGUUAACGCGGUAGUGCGAAAUUGCCAUGGCAAGUUGGUUGAAGAAUUCAACAUAAAAUUGCAGUUUGACAGCAUGUUCGUUGAUCAUCUGAAUGAUUGGGUUAAUUUUGCGGUGUCAGCGCAGAUAAGGAAGAUAGCUUUCUACUUAGAUCCAAAUAACCUGGGGCUUUGGGAUCCUGGUCAUUACGAAUUUCCAUUUCACCUCUUGGAUAGUGAAAGCAUAUCACGUUUAGAGUGCAUUCAACUUAGCUUUGUAUCUUUGAGACCACCAUCGGAAUUCAGUGGUUUCCCAAGCUUAAGAAAGCUUGAUCUAGAAUUUGUGGAUAUCACUAGAAAGGAUCUUGAAGUUAUAUUGUCCAAUUGCUGCUAUCUUAAAUGGUUAAGCCUAGUCAGAUGCUAUGUGAAGGACGAGCUAAAGUUGGAUCGUCCGUUGUCCAGCCUUCGACACCUAGCAGUUGUAUGGUGUGACAUAACCAGGAUAGAACUUCCAACUCUGAAACUGGAUACAUUUGUAUAUCAUGGACACAUUGUUCCAAUUGUUAUAAAUCGAGAUUCCAUGUUGGAAAAUGCACAAGUAUGGCUCUUCAAGGCAAAUUUCGAUGAUGAUGUCAGUGCAGUUCUCAAUGGUAUUCCGAGGGUGCAAAAUCUGACGCUACAAAUUUUGAAACUGGGAAUAGAGAUGCAACCACUGUUGAAUAGCACAUGCAUGUUUUCCCAUCUUAGGUGCUUACAGUUGUUAUUGGGUAUAACACUUGUAGAUAUAAACAAACUUCCCCGUGUAGUUUCCAUUCUGAGAGCAGCUCCAUCUAUUGAGAAGUUAGAGAUCCAUUUUACUGCCGGUGGUAGUCAUCUUUGUCUUGCGGCCAAGGGUACUGUGGACAAGCCACAGUACCUUGAGCACUGUGAAUAUAAUUAUCUGAAGAGUGUGCAUAUGACAGGAUAUAAAGGGGCAAGAGGUCAACUGGAAUUUCUUGUGCAUGUUGUGGAAAAGGCCCCUGCGCUGGAGGCAUUAACUGUGGACACAGCUCUAGAGCUUCACGAUGAUGAUUAUGUACGCAUGUUUAAUGUUUUGCAGAAAAAAUGCAUGCUCCGACCGCGCUGCUCUGCACGCUAG